rnacentral:rRNA from 1 species
AGAGUUUGAUCAUGGCUCAGAUUGAACGCUGGCGGCAUGCCUAACACAUGCAAGUCGAACGGAAACGAUGCUAGCUUGCUAGCAGGCGUCGAGUGGCGGACGGGUGAGUAAUGUAUAGGGAUCUGCCUAGUAGUGGGGGACAACAUGUGGAAACGCAUGCUAAUACCGCAUACGCUCUACGGAGGAAAGUGGGGGACCUUUCGGGGCCUCAUGCUACUAGAUGAACCUAUAUUGGAUUAGCUUGUUGGUAAGGUAAUGGCUUACCAAGGCGACGAUCCAUAGCUGGUUUGAGAGAAUGAUCAGCCACACUGGGACUGAGACACGGCCCAGACUCCUACGGGAGGCAGCAGUGGGGAAUAUUGCACAAUGGACGAAAGUCUGAUGCAGCAAUGCCGCGUGUGUGAAGAAGGCCUUAGGGUUGUAAAGCACUUUCAGACGUGAGGAAAAGUAAUAAUUUAAUAAAUUAUUACCUUGACGUUAACGUCAGAAGAAGGACCGGCUAACUCCGUGCCAGCAGCCGCGGUAAUACGGAGGGUCCAAGCGUUAAUCGGAAUUACUGGGCGUAAAGCGCGCGUAGGCGGAUAUUUAAGUCAGAUGUGAAAUCCCUGGGCUCAACCUAGGAACUGCAUUUGAUACUGGAUAUCUAGAGUAUGGUAGAGGUGAGUGGAAUUUCAGGUGUAGCGGUGAAAUGCGUAGAGAUCUGAAGGAACAUCAGUGGCGAAGGCGACUCACUGGGCCAUUACUGACGCUGAGGUGCGAAAGCGUGGGUAGCAAACAGGAUUAGAUACCCUGGUAGUCCACGCCGUAAACGAUGUCUACUAGCCGUUGGGAGACUUGAUUUCUUAGUGGCGCAGCUAACGCACUAAGUAGACCGCCUGGGGAGUACGGCCGCAAGGUUAAAACUCAAAUGAAUUGACGGGGGCCCGCACAAGCGGUGGAGCAUGUGGUUUAAUUCGAUGCAAC